rnacentral:rRNA from 1 species
GCCAGCAGCCAUAUCAGCCUGUAGCCCAAGACUGGUCGCCCACUGAAGCUAAGCGGGGUUGAGCCUGAAAACUAGGCUGCUGCUGGAA